UGUGUCGUUCCACCAAUUCGGUGCCUUUUGAGAAGUGCAUCUUGAUUUUUUUAAAGCGUUUGAUUUCACCUAAUUUUAACAUUCUGUCAUAAAGAGCACAUGUUCAACUUCUUAAAAAAACAUGUUGUCCCAUCUCAAGAGGUUACAUUAAAAAACAUGUUGUCCCAUCUCAAGAGGUUACAUUAAAAAACAUGUUGUCCCAUCUCAAGAGGUUACAUUAAAAAACAUGUUGUCCCAUCUCAAGAGGUUACAUUAAAAAACAUGUUGUCCCAUCUCAAGAGGUUACAUUAAAAAACAUGUUGUCCCAUCUCAAGAGGUUACAUUAAAAAACAUGUUGUCCCAUCUCAAGAGGUUACAUUAAAAAACAUGUUGUCCCAUCUCAAGAGGUUACAUUAAAAAACAUGUUGUCCCAUCUCAAGAGGUUACAUUAAAAAACAUGUUGUCCCAUCUCAAGAGGUUACAUUAAAAAACAUGUUGUCCCAUCUCAAGAGGUUACAUUAAAAAACAUGUUGUCCCAUCUCAAGAGGUUACAUUAAAAAACAUGUUGUCCCAUCUCAAGAGGUUACAUUAAAAAACAUGUUGUCCCAUCUCAAGAGGUUACAUUAAAAAACAUGUUGUCCCAUCUCAAGAGGUUACAUUAAAAAACAUGUUGUCCCAUCUCAAGAGGUUACAUUAAAAAACAUGUUGUCCCAUCUCAAGAGGUUACAUUAAAAAACAUGUUGUCCCAUCUCAAGAGGUUACAUUAAAAAACAUGUUGUCCCAUCUCAAGAGGUUACAUUAAAAAACAUGUUGUCCCAUCUCAAGAGGUUACAUUAAAAAACAUGUUGUCCCAUCUCAAGAGGUUACAUUAAAAAACAUGUUGUCCCAUCUCAAGAGGUUACAUUAAAAAACAUGUUGUCCCAUCUCAAGAGGUUACAUUAAAAAACAUGUUGUCCCAUCUCAAGAGGUUACAUUAAAAAACAUGUUGUCCCAUCUCAAGAGGUUACAUUAAAAAACAUGUUGUCCCAUCUCAAGAGGUUACAUUAAAAAAACUAUAGUAAGUGCCUAUUAAGUGUCAAAUAAACUAACAGGGUUGACGAUUACUACUUAAAUCAGCCAUAAAUCCCUUUGUGACAGUGGAACAGGGAAUGGCAAUUGAUUGGAAGCUUCACAAAUAAAAUGACAAAUUGUUAAAAUGAUUCCUUUCUAUCUAUGGGUAAUAGGGUUGCCGUGUUAUGCUCGACCCGCUCACUUUUCUACCACAGAAUACUAGAAAAUGCUCAAAAAGAGUACAACCAGCUCACUGGCAUCUACUCUAUGAUUUCACUAUUAGAUGUUGACUGUUUUUUUUUUUAAAGAUUGUUUUAUAUACUGUAUAUAGUAUAUAUAUAUAUAUAUAUGUAUAAAGGAAUAGUUUCACCAUAUUAAAAGGAGUCUUCAGUUCACGUAACAGGGUUGACCGUAAAAUGAGGGACAGACGUAAAUGAAUCACUAUUCAACUGAAAUAUUCAUAUUAAAAAUAAGGUUUAUUGAAUUUAUCUAUGUUAAAGAGCACUUCAUUUAACAUUUUACUGCAGUGAGCUAAAUCAGGGUCACACAGAGUGUUUCGUGGUAGUCUUAAACUAAUCUACUAUGACACAAAAGUCUACACCUCACACACACGGAUAAGAGUCUAAAACAAAUAAGACACCAUGUCAGAGUUGAAAUGUAUUACAUGUUGAGUUUGCAUCCCAAUAUUACACUUUAUAUACAUCACAGAAGACUGCCAUUUUCAAUUAUGAAAACUAUUAAUACCAUUCCACCCAUUAGGCCACUAGAGUGAGAUUUGGUCAUUCGACUGCAGGAAAGAGUUUUAAUAUAACAGGCUUUUAAAUUCUAUAUUGGUGCACAAUUUCUACUUAAAAUAUCAAAGGGAUGCAAAAGGCCCUCAUUUCGUGAAACAAAAUGGUGCAGUUCACAGGUGCAGUUCCCUCGAGCUUCAGUGGUUUACUGUGAGCACACACAGCUGUGUCUCAUCUAACACCGUGAAAAAGACACACCAGACAAGGCAGCUGCCAAAGUGUGACCCUCUUCACAUUUCAUCCAACAUCUAUUCAGUGCAAAGUGUGACCACCACUCUCACCACCCUGCACUGGUUCAUACACAGCUGUAUUUUACUAUGACCGAUGUACAAUGUUACCAAAGCCCAAAGAAACCCAUUACACAGUUGUCUAAAAAACACACAGUUCAUGUUGACUUAGCGGUAUAAGAGCAGUAGCCUACGUGCUUUCUUCCCCACAGUGCAAAGUCAUAUCUGUAAAAAGUUCAUUAGCUCAUAAAUCAUAGUUAAAAAUGUUUGUCUUGUGACUUAUGCCCAAAUAGUAGAGAUUGGGGUCAGCCAUGGUCAUACUAACCCUGACCCUGUGUCCCUGAAGACACCAGGCCCCUGAGGUCAGGUGUUUGACCCAAGCAGAGCCCCUUCAAAAAAGCAGGCUAAUGGCCUGUCACUGUCACUGUCACAGCCUGCCAUGGGUCCCUAUCACACUGGGCAGACUGGGACCAAUGGUGCAAGGGCAGGGCGGAGACUGGGGCCUGGGGUCUGAGGGACAGAGCUAGGCCUUAUUCACUCCCUUCUAACAAUUAUUCACCCCUGAAACUCUGACCUUCUAAACUGUGCAUAUGAGUGCUUCUACCACUUCGGAAUGUUUACUAGUGCAAGACAACAAAUCAAAUCAAAGUUUAUAGUGCAAAAAAAGGUGUUAUGUGAACAAUAGGUAAGUAAAGAAAUAAAAACAACAGUAAAAAGACAGGCUGUAUACAGUAGCGAGGCUAUAAAAGUAGCAAGGCUACUUGUAGAUAUGGUUAAAGUGACUAUGCAUUUAUGAUGAACAGAGAGUAGCAGUAGCGUAAAAGAGGGGUUGGUUGAUUAGCCAAUGUGCGGGAGCACUGUUUGGUUGGCUCAAUUGAGGUAGUAUUUACAUGAAUGUAUAGUUAAAGUGGCCAUGCAUAUAUGAUAAACAACAGUGAGUUCUGUAGUUAGUUGUCACAUACAGAUACAAGAGUUAUGUUGUUGAACACACCCUGAACACAGAAUGAUUUGUGUGGCAACUUUCAAUGCACAUGCAGAAGUGUGCAGUCACAGAAUACUAAUACAGGGAUUUACAGUAUGUAGCUGUGGCACAUGCAUAUAGGGAAUUGUGUGUGAAUGGACCCUGUGAAGCAGAACAAUGGCUCUUCUUCAGCUGGUCAUGUGAUGAGUGUACCUUGUGUGUGUGUGUGUGUGUGUGUGUGUGUGUGUGUGUGUGUGUGUGUGUGUGUGUGUGUGUGUGUGUGUGUGUGUGUGUGUGUGUGUGUGUGUGUGUGUGUGUUUGUGUGUGUGUGUGUGUGUGUGCGUGUGUGC